rnacentral:rRNA from 1 species
AGCGCAGACGGUUUAUUAAGUCUGAUGUGAAAGCCCGGAGCCCAACUCCGGAAUGGCAUUGGAAACUGGUUAACUUGAGUGCAGUAGAGGUAAGUGGAACUCCAUGUGUAGCGGUGGAAUGCGUAGAUAUAUGGAAGAACACCAGUGGCGAAGGCGGCUUACUGGACUGUAACUGACGUUGAGGCUCGAAAGUGUGGGUAGCAAACA